GACGAACGCUGGCGGCGUGCCUAAUACAUGCAGGUCGAGCGGACUGAUUAAGAGCUUGCUCUUAUGACGUUAGCGGCGGACGGGUGAGUAACACGUGGGCAACCUGCCCUGUAGAUCGGGAUAACACCGAGAAAUCGGUGCUAAUACCGGGUAAUAUCUGAGAUCACAUGAUCUUAGGUUAAAAGAUGGCUCCGGCUAUCACUACAGGAUGGGCCCGCGGCGCAUUAGCUAGUUGGUAAGGUAAUGGCUUACCAAGGCGACGAUGCGUAGCCGACCUGAGAGGGUGAUCGGCCACACUGGGACUGAGACACGGCCCAGACUCCUACGGGAGGCAGCAGUAGGGAAUCUUCCGCAAUGGACGAAAGUCUGACGGAGCAACGCCGCGUGAGUGAUGAAGGGGUUCGGCUCGUAAAGCUCUGUUGUUAGGGAAGAAACAGUACCGAACGAACUAGGUCGGUACCUUGACGGUACCUAACCAGAAAGCCACGGCUAACUACGUG
rnacentral:rRNA from 1 species